rnacentral:lncRNA from 1 species
CGGUAAGGAAAAAACUCGAACACACGAUCGGAACUCGAAAAGAAAAAGAAGAAAUAGGACAGGCUCCAAGGCGUGUAUCAAGCCACUAUCUUUAAGGUUAUAUUCGCCCCCACUUAUCUUCAGUGUGCAAACGAGUUCCAAGCAAAUUAACCUCGAGGAUACAAUGAAGCCAAUGACUAUUUGCGUUUUGCACUGACGAGAAUAGUCCACUAUGCACUGAGUAAUGUAUAACAAAAACUCAAUUUCUACAAAGGAUUUCUGCAGCAAUACUUUAUAGAAUAAUCUAAUAAUAUUAGAAAAUGAAGGAAGAGAAGAAAUAAUAUUAGAAUUUGUUAAUAUGAUUUCCAAAUGAAAUCCUAUUCCUAUUUAUAGGAAUUUUCAUGUCUCUUCAUAGAGACAUCUUUCAAUAGGUGUCUUUAUGAAUAAAUAAAUAAUAAUAAUUAUUCAUUUAAUUUUGUAACUAUUCAAAUAAUAUUUUUUGAAUAGUUAUAAUUCUUUUUUUUAAAAAUCAAAUGAUAUAACUUUUGACCAAUGACCAAAAGUUUUAUCUUUUGAUUAAUUACACCCAUUCAUUUAUAGUUAUUGGGAUACUACAAAUAUUUGAAAAUAUUCCAACAAUCUCCCCCCAUUUUCAAAAUAUUUAGAUUUUGAUAUUCUUGGAAAUCAAUUUGCAUAAAUAAAGGUGUCUUACGAUUGAACCUUCACUUAGUGAAAACAUGUUAAAGUUAAUCGAAAUUGUAUGGUAGACUAAGCUUUGAACCAACUAUUCCAUUUGAUUAACUGAACACAUCUCACACAAUGAUUUCAACAUCAGUCAAUGCAUAGUAUCUAGGGACACUAUUAUAGCCAUGUGUCUAUGUCCUCUUUUCAUGAGUGCUGUCAGAGCCAAGCCCUUAAGCUCCUAGAAGCGGCCACACUUCCACUCACAUAGGUAGAUCCCAUCAAAAGUGUUCCCGUAAUUAUAACACUCUAACAUAUUUAUGUUAUGGGUCCAUUAAGAGUACAUUACUCAUCCUUCCCUUAUCAUUACGGGUACCUAGCACUUUAAUCUUAGGAUGGAUUUAUUUAUAGUGCUAACAGUCACAUACUAAUGAUGUACUUUGUCUCAUUGAACUCAAGACUUGACGUUAUACCAAGCGUUGAGUCGAGUUUCCAUCAUGGGUGACUCUAAUUAAUAGGCUUGAGUCCCAUCCCUUUUGAGGUCCUUUUUACUGCAUCUCUAGCAAGACUUUUUGUCAAAGGAUCUGCCAAAUUUUCACUUAACCUCACAUAAUUAAUAGUGAUCACUCCAUCAGAAAUUAAUUGUCGGACAUAACUAUGUCUUAAUCCAAUGUGUCUAGACUUUCCAUUAUAUACUUGGCUAUAUGCCUUUGCUAGAGUAGCCUCACUAUCACAACGGAUAGAAAUAGGUGAAAUUGGCUUAAGCCAUAAAGGUACAUCAUAAAGCAAAUUUCUUAACCAUUCUGCUUCUUUAGAUGCAGCGGCUAAUGCAAUAAAUUCUGCUGCCAUGGUGGAAUCAGUAAUACAUGUUUGUUUCUUGGAACCCCAAGAAAUGACUCCUCCACCAAGAAUGAAGAUCCACCCACUAGUAGAUGCAUGAUCUUCCAAACUUGUAAUCCAACUAGCAUCUGAAUACCCUUCUAAAACUGGAGGAUAUCCAUUAUAACACAAUCUAUAGUUAAUAGUUUUCUUUAAGUACCUAAGUACUCUAUUUAAAGCUUGCCAAUGCAAACUACUUGGAUUAUUUGUGUAUCUACUCAAUUUUCCAAUAGCAUAUGCAAUAUCUGGUCUUGUACAAGUCAUUAUGUACAUAAGACAACCAAUUAGACUUGCAUAUUUCAAUUGAUCAAUUUUCCUACCAGCAUUAGAUACUAAUUUUAAUUGAGGAUCCAUGGGUGUAGAUGCUGGUAUACAGUUGAAAAGAUCAAACUUUUUAAGCACAUUUUCAAUGUAAUGUGAUUGUGAUAAAGCUAUAGUGCUUUCAUCUCGGGUUAUUUUAAUCCCAAGAAUAACAUCUGCUACACCCAUAUCCUUCAUAGCAAAGUUGUUUGACAAGAAUUUCUUUGUGUUUUCUAUUUGUUCCAAAUCCGUGCCAAAAAUGAGCAUGUCAUCUACAUAUAAGCAAAUUAUAACACCCUUUCCAUUAUCAAAUUUACUAUAUAUGCACUUAUCGGAUUCAUUUAUUUUAUAGCCAUUAGCUAAAACAACCUUGUCAAACUUUUGGUACCAUUGUUUUGGUGCUUGUUUAAGCCCAUAUAAAGAUUUAACAAGCUUACAUACCUUAUGCUCUAGUCCUGGAACAACAAAUCCUUCCGGUUGCUCCAUGUACACUUCCUCUUCCAAUUCACCAUUUAAAAAUGCAGUUUUAACAUCCAUUUGGUGAACAACCAAAUUAUAUAUAGAGGUAAGUGAUAUUAAUAGUCUAAUUGUAGCAAUUCUUGCUAUUGGAGCAUAGGUAUCAAAGUAAUCAAUACCUUGUCUUUGUGUAAAACCUUGUGCUACCAACCUUGCUUUAAAUUUAUCAAUGGUUCCAUCGACCUUCAUUUUCUUUUCGAAGAUCCAUUUACAACCUAUUGGUUUGGAACCUGGUGGAAGAUCAACUAAGAUCCAAGUUUGAUUUCCCAUUAUUGAAUCCAUUUCAUCAUUUAUUGCUUCUUUCCAAAAAGUAGAGUCUUGAGAUUUCACUGCUUCUUCAAAUGUAAUAGGAUCAGAUUCGGUAUUAUAACAAUAAGGUAUCUUAUUGCAUAUACUUUCACCUUUUCCUUCUACAAGAAACAUAAUAAAAUCUGGUCCAAAAUCUUUGACCUUUUUAAUCCUCUUACUUCUUCUUAAUUCUUGACAAGAUUCAUCAUUAUUAUCAAUUUGUUUCAAUGGAAUCUCAUUCUCAUUUGAAGAAUGAAUCAAUUGUUGUGGUUGUAAUUGUCUUGAUAUAGAAUUAAAUCUAUUUUCAUCAAAAGUAGCAUCUCUUGAUUCAAUAACCGUAUUAAUUAAAAUUGAAUCAUUUGGUUCAAUUACUAUGAACCUAUAUGCCUUGCUAUUAUGUGCAUAACCUAUAAAUAUGCAUUCAAUUCCUCUUUCACCUAACUUUUUACGUUUAGGUGUUGGAACUUUUACAAUAGCUCUACAACCCCAAACCUUUAAAUAAUUAAGGUUUGGUUUUCUUUUCUUCCAUUGUUCAUAGGGGGUUAUUUUAGUUUCCUUAUUAGGAACUCUAUUCAAUAUAUGACAAGCUGUUAGAAUAGCUUCUCCCCAAAAACCCUGUCCAAGACCUGAAUAUGAUAACAUUGAAUUUACCAUUUCAAUCAAGACUCUAUUUUUCCUUUCAGCUACACCAUUUUGUUGUGGUGUGUAAGGGGCUGAAACUUGAUGGACAAUUCCAGUGAGUUCAAAAUAACUUGGAUUAUAGUAUUCUCCACCUCUAUCCGAUCUUAAGCACUUGAUAAAUGAUUCACACUGAAGUUCAACUUCAGAUUUAUAAACUUUAAAUUUAUCAAGCGCUUCAUCUUUUGAAUGCAAUAAAUAUACAUAACAAUAUCUAGAACAAUCAUCAAUAAAAGUAACAAAAUAUUUCUUUCCACCUAAUGUAGGAGUAUUAUGCAAGUCACAUAAAUCACUAUGUAUCAAAUCAAGCAAUUUUGUUUUCCUUUUAACCUUAGGGAAAGGAUUUCUUGUAAUUUUAGUCAACAUACAAGUAUUGCAUUUUUCAAUAUUAUUAUUAAAAACAGGAAUUAAAUCUAAUUUAUACAUGUCAUUCAAUUUUGUAUAAUUCAAAUGACCUAAUCUAUAAUGCCACAAACAAAAUGAUUCAACCAUAUAAGCAGAAAUAGUAUUUUUAUUCUUAUUAAUAAUAUUAAGUUUGAACAUGCUUUCAUACAUAUACCCUUUUCCCACAAAAAUUCCUCCCUUAGACAAAAUAAACUUAUCUGCCUCAAAAACAAGUUUGAAACCAAACUUAUUCAACAGACUUCCAGACACUAAAUUUUUCCUAACUUCUGGUACAUAAUAUACAUCAUUUAAGGUUAAAACCUUUCCAGAAGUGAAUUGUAGUUCAACAGACCCUUUGCCUUUAAUUAUUGCGGUGGAAGAAUUUCCCAUGUACAAGACAUUGUCAUUUUCACAUUUUGUGAACUUUGUGAACAUGCUUUUGUCUUUGCACACAUGUUUGGUUGCUCCGGUAUCAAUCCACCAUGUAUUAUCAUCUUGUGCCAUAUUAAUUUCAGAUAUCAUUGCAACGAACUUUUCGUUAUUAUCAGCCUUAGAAGAUGAUUUCUUCUUUAAAAAUCGACAUUCAUUCUUGAAAUGUCACGGCUUUCCACAAUGAUAGCAUGAGCCCUUUUGUUUCUUUUUGAACUUAGGUGCUCUAUCAGUCUGAUUGAACUUUCUCUUGAAUGGUUUAGUAGUCUGUACUUCCUCCGUAACAUGUACUUUGGCAUUUUCAGAAUUUAGGUUCUAAUCUAGUUUUCGAUACUCUUCUUCAAUACGAAGAUGAUUUGCCAAAGCCUCAAGAGAUAUUUCCUCUUUCUUAUGUUUUAGACUUCUUUUAAAGUCUUUCCAAGAUGGAGGAAGUUUGUCUAUUAUGGAGGAUACCACAAUCAUUUCAUCCAUUUUCAUAUCAUAUUGCUUAAAUUGAUUCAGCAUCUUUUCAAUAUCACGAAAUUGUUCCAUAACAGAACGACCAUCAACCAUUUGAUAAUUAUUGAAACGACUGACAAGAAAUUUCUUACUUGUAACAUCUUCGGUCAUGUAUCUUGCCUCCAAUUUGUCCCAUAAUUCUUUAGCGGUGACGUCGUUUUGGUAGGUGUCGAAGAAACCAUCAGAUAAACCAUUCAAUAUGUGGCCCAUGCACAUGUAAUCAGCAUUGUCCCAUUUUUGUCUUUCUCAGGUUGCAGCAACAGAUUCAUUUUCAUUCUCUUCAGGUCUUGGAGUAUCCAAAACAUAAGCAAUCUUCAAAGUUGAUAACAAAAAGUGCAUCUUUUUCUACCAUCGUCGAAAAUUGCCACCAUCAAAACGAUCAAGUUUAACAAAGUUGGAAGCCAACUCCCUUAGUGUUCCACUUUCAUGUGUUGUGGUAGUCAUCAUGAAAUAUAACCUUAAAAUUGUUAGUACAAAACUCCGGUAAGGAAAAAACUCGAACACACGAUCGGAACUCGAAAAGAAAAAGAAGAAAUAGGACAGGCUCCAAGGCGUGUAUCAAGCCACUAUCUUUAAGGUUAUAUUCGCCCCCACUUAUCUUCAGUGUGCAAACGAGUUCCAAGCAAAUUAACCUCGAGGAUACAAUGAAGCCAAUGACUAUUUGUGUUUUGCACUGACGAGAAUAGUCCACUAUGCACUGAGUAAUGUAUAACAAAAACUCAAUUUCUACAAAGGAUUUCUGCAGCAAUACUUUAUAGAAUAAUCUAAUAAUAUUAGAAAA